ACAUCUAUUAACUUUUAUGGACAAUUCUUUUUGAACAAAACUAAUCUCAUAUUUUGGAUUCUUAAAAUGGCUCUGGUUUCAACUCAUUUUAGGCAAGCCUGAUCAAAACUUCCCAAGUUUUAUUUUUAAUUUGUGUGAUAGGAUUAUUAUUUUUAUUUUGUUUAGCUGUACUAAUUUUUAGAAGAAAAUGUUCCUUUUCUAACUUUUAAAAAAAAAUACAUUUUGUGCAGAGUUCUUAAUUUCCAUAACAGCCCACCUGAUGUGUAAAAUAUAAUGUUGGUGCACAGUAAAAUUUCACAGUGUGUUCUUUCCUGUCCUUUUUCCUGGUAUAGUUGGGGUGUAACUUGACUUAGACACUACUGAUUGUCAUAAACCUCCAGUACCCUUGAUUUGCCAAAUAAGUUUGAAGAACAAAGUGUAUCAUUUUCUGUUACCUUAACUCACAAUGCUGUAUCACAUAAUAAAGCCUCAACAGACUUGGAUUAAAA
rnacentral:lncRNA from 1 species